rnacentral:rRNA from 1 species
AUUGAACGCUGGCGGCAUGCCUUACACAUGCGAGUCGAACGGUAACGGGCCUUCGGGUGCCGACGAGUGGCGAACGGGUGGGUAAUACAUCGGAACGUGCCCGAUCGUGGGGGAUAACGAGGCGAAAGCUUUGCUAAUACCGCAUACGAUCUACGGAUGAAAGCAGGGGACCGCAAGGCCUUGCGCGGACGGAGCGGCCGAUGGCAGAUUAGGUAGUUGGUGGGAUAAAAGCUUACCAAGCCGACGAUCUGUAGCUGGUCUGAGAGGAUGAUCAGCCACACUGGGACUGAGACACGGCCCAGACUCCUACGGGAGGCAGCAGUGGGGAAUUUUGGACAAUGGGCGCAAGCCUGAUCCAGCCAUGCCGCGUGCAGGAUGAAGGCCUUCGGGUUGUAAACUGCUUUUGUACGGAACGAAAAGCCUUCUUUUAAUACAGGAGGGUCAUGACGGUACCGUAAGAAUAAGCACCGGCUAACUACGUG